UUCUUGUUUCUUGUUUCUGGUCUCUUGAGCAGCGGUCGAUCUCUCUCUCUCCCCUCUUGGUGAAAGAGUCCUGAAGCGAUGUUCACACUCUUAAGAGAUCCUCUUCUCCAUCGAGGCCGCAGCCCCAUAGGAACGUUCCCCUCCUCCUCCUCCUCCUCUCUCUAUCUCUUUCAACGCUUUUCUUUCUCUUUUCGCCCUUUUCCCUCAAAAAAUGGCGCCCCGUAAAAUUAUAAACAAUCCUUCUCAAUUUCCAGGUGUUUCCUCUCCGAAACUCUGGAUUAUUUUUAUGUGGGAAGUGUUAGUAAGCGUGAUUGGGAGCUUUAAAUUGAAAGUGCUAAUUUUAUUCAUUGAAGAAAAGACGGUAUAGAUUUCUAUUUUGAACUCUGGGAGGGAAAUUAGGGCACGGGCGUGGGCGUUUUGGGGAUGUGAAUUUCGAGCUGAAACGGUGGCGUUUUUGGGAAAUUUGAAGGAUUGUGAUGGCAUAUGUUUUUAAUGCGUAUUACUGAACUCGUAAGCUUGUUAAUAUAGGGGGAAAAGCUGUUUUGUGUUUAAGAUUUGUUGGGAAAUAUCAAUGUUGGGUUUAACGUACAGACAUUUUGUCACUAGUGGCUUCUGUACUAGUUUAUCUUGGGGUAGGUGUUCAAAUUCUUGUCUUCUGUGUUUGGAUCUUGGAUCAGUUAACAAUGUGAGAAGGGUUACAAUGAUUAGUUGCGUGCUGUAUUUUGCUACAGAGAUGUUUGUGUUACAAAUCCUAAUUAGUUGUUCCACCUUUCUCUUUUUUAA